CUCUAUUAAACCCACUGCAAUGUGGCUUUUAUCCCCAUCCCACACCACCAAAACUGCACUGGGAAGGCCAUCAGGUAACUUCCACGUUGCUAAUUCCAGUGUCAAUACUCAGCCCUCACACCUUACCUUGCCUGCCAGGAGCAUCUGCCCUGACACUCCCCUCAUCCUCCUCAACACACUUUUAUCAUUAGCUUAAAGGGCAGCACGUCUCACCUCCCCCACUGCCACACCUCCCUACUUCUUGCUACCCUCACUUCCUGCUAGGGUUGCUGGUCUCCCUGUUUCCAACCCAGCCUCCUCCUACAAUCUCUUCCACAUAUAAGAGGCAAAGCACUCUUUUAAACAUAUAAAUCAUCCUUUCUCUGCUCAAAGCCAUGCAAUGACUCACUAACACACUCAAAAUAAAAUCCAAAUUCUUUACCAGGUUGAUAUGAUUUGAAUUUGUGUCUCCGCCCAAAUUCAAUGACAAAUCAAAGACAAUGGGGAAAAUGCCUUGAAGGCAUCUCAGAGACCUUUGUGGCAGCCCCUCCCACCACAGACUCAGAGGCCAAGAGGGGAAGAAUGGUUUCACAGGCCAGGCCCAGGGCCUGGCUGCCCUGGGGACACUGCUCCCUGCAUCCCAGCCACUCCAGCUCCAGCCACGGCUAAAACAGUCCUAGAUUAUGUCUCAAGCUGCUGUUCAGACAGCUUGCCUGGAUGAAAAGGAGCAGGUGUGAAGAUUAAAAAAAGAAGAGGAGUUCAGUUUUGGACAUGUUAAAUUUGAGAGGCUUAUGAGCCACCAAUCUGAAGAUGUUGAGAAGGCAAUGAUGGAUACAGAAGUAUGGAGUUCAGGGAAGAGGUCAGAUCACAAAUACUUUAUCUACACCCCAGGACUUUGUAUCCAAAGACCAAGGACACUUGAAAUGGUUCACAGUGGCAACAGUAAGAGACCAGUGGCCACACUGCACUAACCACACUGUUAUGGUAACAUAAUCUGGGCAGUAUUUUCUUGCUGCUCAUCUGCCUCUGGUUAUUGCUCAUUUUGUGAAGCUGGGUUCCCACUCUCUCCAUCAAUUCUGUAACCUACCUGUCAUCAUCCCAACAAAUUCCUUUUAUGUCCAAAUUACCUAGUCAGUUUCUGCUAUUUGCAACCAAGGACCCGUUAAUGAAUUAUGAAGAAUAUUCCAGUCUCGAAUAGAAAACUGUAAUUUCCUUCCCAAUUUAAAGCCAUUCCUACAAACAAGCAGAAUUUAUGGUACAAAUAUAACUCUAAAGUAUAAAUACACAUAAUAAAGAUAUUCAAAAAUUAAAGACGGUACAGAUCAGUUUUUUGAGAUAUUUAAGAGGUCCCAGGAUAAUUAAAAAGAAAACUUUGUUUCAAAACAAAAUUUGAACAUUAUUAUAAAAGUAGAACACCCAGAAAAAAAUGGCAAAACACCAAGAUCAUUUAAAAAAU
rnacentral:lncRNA from 10 species